AAUCCUUUAACGAGGAACUAUUGGAGGGCAUGUCUGGUGCCAGCAGCCGCGGUAAUUCCAGCUCCAAUAGCGUAUAUUAAAGUUGUUGCGUCUAAAAAGCUCGUAGUUUGAAAACUUGCCUUGGCUUACAACAGACGUCUAAGGGCGUCACCGCUUGUCGAGAGCGAAUAUGGGUGACUGUUCUUGCCUUCUUCACUGAUUGGCUCGUAAAAGUUAUCGAAGAUCACUUUGAUUAAAUUAGGGUGCUCAAAGCAAGUGUGCUACUUGAAUAUGAAUGCAUGGAAUGAUGGAAUAUGUUGUUGUUCUAUUUGUUGGUUUUUUGAAUGACGAAAUGAUUGAAAGGAACUGUUGGGGGCAUUCGUAUUGUUGUGAGAGAGGUGAAAUUCUUAGACCAUAGCAAGACGAACUACUGCGAAAGCAUUUGCCAAGAAUGUUUUCAUUGAUCAAGAACGAAAGUUAAAGGUUCGAAGGCGAUCAGAUACCGCCCUAGUUCUAACCAUAAACUAUGCCGACUAGCAAUUUGCUUUGUAUUUUUAUGACUAAGUGAGAGGCCACGGGAAACCAAAGUAGGGUUAUGGGGGAAGUAUGGUUGCAAAGCUGAAACUUAAAGGAAUUGACGGAAGGGCACCACCAGGAGUGGAGCCUGCGGCUUAAUUUGACCCAACACGGGAAAACUUACCUGGUCCUGACACUAGAAGGAUUGACAGAUUGAUAGCUCUUUCUUGAUUUGGUGGAUGGUGGUGCAUGGCCGUUCUUAGUUGGUGGAGUGAUUUGUCUGGUUAAUUCCGAUAACGAACGAGACUCUAGCCUAUUAAAUAAUAUGCGGAAUCAAUUUCUCCCGCGUUAUUUCUUAAUGGGAUCAAGCGUGUUUAACGCUUUGAAACAGAGCAAUAACAGGUCUGUGAUGCCCUUAGAUGUUCGGGGCUGCACGCGCGCUACAUUGAAGAACAAAGUGAGCCCUCUGGCUUUUAACAAAGCUAGAAAUCUUUUAAUGUUCUUCUUAAUGGGGAUAGGGGAUUGCAAUUGUGCCCCUUGAACGAGGAAUUCCCAGUAAGUGCUAGUCAUUAGCUAGUACUGAUUACGUCCCUGCCCUUUGUACACACCGCCCGUCGCUACUACCGAUUGAAUAGUUUAGUGAGAUCAUCUGAGUGUUUGUAUGUGCAUUCUGUGCUUGUAUGGUGUACGAAGAAGAUCAAACUUGAUUAUUUAGAGGAAGUAAAAGUC
rnacentral:rRNA from 1 species